UACGGAGGGUGCAAGCGUUAUCCGGAUUUAUUGGGUUUAAAGGGUGAGUAGGCGGAAUUAUAAGUCAGUGGUGAAAUCUUGCAGCUUAACUGUAAAACUGCCAUUGAUACUGUUAUUCUUGAAUAUAGUUGAGGUAGGUGGAAUGUGUAAUGUAGCGGUGAAAUGCUUAGAUAUUACACAGAACCCCGAUUGCGAAGGCAGCUUACCAAACUAUCAUUGACGCUGAGGCACGAAAGCGUGGGGAUCAAACAGG
rnacentral:rRNA from 1 species